AUUGAACGCUGGCGGCAGGCCUAACACAUGCAAGUCGAGCGGAGCGGCGGACGGGUGCGUAAUGCCUAGGAAUCUGCCUGGUCGUGGGGGAUAACGUCCGGAAACGGGCGCUAAUACCGCUUACUCUCGGCUUAGCCUAGGGCGGAUUAGCUAGUGGGUGGGGUAAAGGCCUACCAAGGCGACGAUCCGUAGCUGGUCUGAGAGGAUGAUCAGUCACACUGGAACUGAGACACGGUCCAGACUCCUACGGGAGGCAGCAGUGGGGAAUAUUGCACAAUGGGCGAAAGCCUGAUUCAGCCAUGCCGCGUGUGUGAAGAAGGUCUUCGGAUUGUAAAGCACUUUAAGUUGGGAGGCGUUACCAACAGAAUAAGCACCGGCUAACUCCGUGCCAGCAGCCGCGGUAAUUC
rnacentral:rRNA from 1 species